rnacentral:rRNA from 1 species
GUGAUCAUCGAAUCUUUGAACGCAUAUUGCGCCCAUUAGUAUUCUAGUGGGCAGGACCGUUCGAGCGUCAUUUCGACCCUUAAGCCUUAGUUGCUUAGUGUUGGGAGCCUACGGCAACGUAGCUCCUCAAAGUUAGUGGCGGAGUUGGUUCACACUCUAGACGUAGUAAUUUUUUAUCUCGCCUAUUAGUUGGACUGAUCCCCUGCCGUAAAACCCCAACUUCUCAAGGUUGACCUCGAAUCGGUUCAGACAAACUCGCUAAAUUGAAGCAUCUUAGUCAGCGAAGGAAAAGAAACCAACAGGGAUUGCCCUAGUAACGGCGAGUGAAGCGGCAACAGCUCAAAUUUGAAAUCUGGCCCUCGGGUCCGAGUUGUAAUUUGUAGAGGAUGCUUUUGGCGCGGUGCCUUCCGAGUUCCCUGGAACGGGACGCCUUAGAGGGUGAGAGCCCCGUACGGUUGGACACCAAGCCUCUGUAAAGCUCCUUCGACGAGUCGAGUAGCUUGGGAAUGCUGCUCUAAAUGGGAGGUAAAUUUCUUCUAAAGCUAAAUAUUGGCCAGAGACCGAUAGCGCACAAGUAGAGUGAUCGAAAGAUGAAAAGCACUUUGAAAAGAGGGUUAAACAGCACGUGAAAUUGUUGAAAGGGAAGCGUUUGCGACCAGACCUUUUCCUAGCGGAUCAUCCGGUGUUCUCACCGGUGCACUUCGCUAGGUCUAGGCCAGCAUCGGUUUCUGUAGGGGGAUAAAAGCUCUGGGAACGUGGCUCCUCCGGGAGUGUUAUAGCCCUCUGCAUAAUACCCUUACGGGGACCGAGGACCGCGCUUCGGCAAGGAUGCUGGCGUAAUGGUCGUCAACGACCCGUCUUGAAACACGGACCAAGGAGUCGAACAUUUGUGCGAGUGUUUGGGUGUUAAACCCUCACGCGUAAUGAAAGUGAACGGAGGUGAGAGCCCUCACGGGUGCAUCAUCGACCGAUCCUGAUGUCUUCGGAUGGAUUUGAGUAAGAGCAUAACUGUUCGGACCCGAAAGAUGGUGAACUAUGCGUGGAUAGGGUGAAGUCAGAGGAAACUCUGAUGGAGGCUCGCAGCGGUUCUGACGUGCAAAUCGAUCGUCAAAUCUGCGCAUGGGGGCGAAAGACUUAUCGAACCAUCUAGUAGCUGGUUACCGCCGAAGUUUCCCUCAGGAUAGCAGUGUUGUUCUUCAGUUUUAUGAGGUAAAGCGAAUGAUUAGGGACUCGGGGGCGCUUUUUAGCCUUCAUCCAUUCUCAAACUUUAAAUAUGUAAGAAGCCCUUGUUACUUAAUUGAACGUGGGCAUUCGAAUGUACCAACACUAGUGGGCCAUUUUUGGUAAGCAGAACUGGCGAUGCGGGAUGAACCGAACGCGGGGUUAAGGUGCCGGAGUGGACGCUCAUCAGACACCACAAAAGGUGUUAGCACAUUUAGACAAUAGGACGGUGGCCAUGGAAGUCGGAAUCCGCUAAGGACUGUGUAACAACUCACCUAUCGAAUGUGCUAGCCCUGAAAAUGGAUGGCGCUUUAGCGUCCCACCCAUACCCCGCCCUCAGGGUAGAAACGAUGCCCUGAGGAGUAGGCGGCCGUGGAGGUCAGUGACGAAGCCUAGGGCU